GGUCGACAAUAACAAAAUAUUACUCCCGUGGUCAUCACUUUUUUUUUAAAGACAUGAAGUCUUCGCUUUGCUCUGCAGACAUGGCCAAGUCUAUGUUUGUGAUUUUAUAUUUUUGACCAGUCAAUCUAAGGGGUAGCUGCCAACGCUGUGGUACGAUCCACACAGUAUGUUUGGUUCUCAGUACGUACCAACCCCAAUGCUUGGGAUUAAAGUUUGUCAAUUUACCAGUUCAUGUGCCCGGAAAUGAGACUGUUGGUAUUGCUUAUAGCUUGUUUUCCCCAAGAUGAGUCAGAUGCCAUGACAUCAAAAGCCAAAUAUGGGG
rnacentral:lncRNA from 1 species